GCUGGUAUGGCUCAAUGGAUAGAGCGUCGGCCUGAAGACUGAAGGGUCCCGGGUUCAAUUCCGGGCAAGAGCA
rnacentral:tRNA from 1 species